UCAGUAUAAGUCUUUAAAUGUCGAAACUGCGAAUGGCUCAUCCAAACAGCUAUAGUUUAUUUGAUGGUCACCUGUUAUUUGGACCAUUGUGGUAAUUCUAGAGCUAAUACAUGCAUAAAAACCCGACUUCUUGGAAGCGUUGCAUUUAUUAGAUACAGAACCAAUCCGGCUUGCCGGUCCUUGGAUGAUUCAUAAUAAAUGAACGGAGCGCAUGACUCGCGUCGGCGCUGUGUCAUUCAAGUUUCUGACCUAUCAGCUUUCCACGGUAGGGCAUUGGCCUACCGUGGCAUUGACGGGCAACGGAGAAUUAGGGUUCGAUUCCGGAGAGGGAGCCC
rnacentral:rRNA from 1 species